CAUCUGAGCCACCAGGGAAGCCCAAGAAUACUGGAGUGGGUAGCUUAUCCCCUCUCCACCAGAUCUUCCUGACCCAGGAAUCAAACUGGGGUCUUCUGCAUUGCUGGCAGAUUCAAACCCUGUGAAGCUGCCCAGGAGGGGAGACACUGACCUCUGGGCAACCAACCCAGAGGUGAGCAAGAGAACCUUGACAUACUUGCUGAGAGGGCUCAGUUUCUUUCCUUCACUGAACUAGGGAAGAGGAGAGACAGGUGUGGGAAGCAUGAUGUGGGAUGAAGAGUUGGAGUCAAUUGUCAUGCUAGACUGUGAAAUUUAAACACGUGAAGGAAGAGGCUAAGAGAGAGGAAAAGAAAGCUGAGUUGCAGAGAGGCUAUUAGCAUGAAUGAUAAGGGGAGAGUAGCUACCUUGGUUCCCAACAUCUUUCUAGAAACAAACAUUAUUCAUUCAAAGCCCAACUGCACUUUGCUUCAUGUUCAGGAAUUCUCUCAGAUCUGUAUAAUAUUACAAUAAGUGUCCCCUUUUUUGUCUACCAUUUUGAGUGAAUUUUUUUUUGGUGCCACCAAAAGAGCCUUUCUUGAAUAUUCUUGGUGACGGUUUUGCCUUCAAGAUCUAUCCAGUGGAGACAGAGGGGUCAAGUCGAGAUGUAUCUAUUAUAUCAACCCUGGGAGAAGGAUUCUACUCCUCUUACCUCACAGUGCCAUUUCCCAGAUAUUUCUGCAACACUUCUGUUAAACAAACAAGGUCUUCCUUCCUUUUAGGUCCAUGUCCAGACAAGGAUGUACUGUCUUCUUUCCUGUCAUCCAUUGAUAUCUGGACACUUUGGUGGUUUAGUCACUAAGUCAUGUCUGACUCUCGUGGAUUCUCCAGGACCCAAUGUUUGCUGAAAAGGUGCUUGGUGGAUACAUUUGGAAAGAAGAAUCACCAGGGGUGACUGGAUUGCAGGGGGCCAGGGUGAAGGCCAGCAGACAAGCUAGAAACCAAUGAAACUCUGGGCAGGACACGAUGUGGCUUGGACGGAGACAAUGGUGUGCGAAUGGGAGAGGCUAACAGACUCGAGAGAUGCUGAGGAGGAGCAUCUCAGGAUGUGCGGGCUGACUGGACCAACAGGUGAGAGGGUUUCUCAGAGGUGGGGAACACCUGGGAUGGGCAGGCUUUGAGGAGAGAUAACGGGCUUAGUUUGCAGCAUGUCGAGUUGGCUGUGAAUGUGGGCUAUCCAGGUAGGAAUGGUCACUGAAAAUCCUCUUUGGGACUCAGGAGAGAGGUCAGGAUGGAGACACGGAUUAGGACAUCUUUUGCUGAACGGCAACUGAAGCCUGGGGUGUGAACGAGACCCCUAGCAGGUGUGAAAAGUGUUCUCACCUGCCGUCCACAGGAGACUCAGAAUUUUUAGCUUUUUUGUGUUUUGUUCAUAAGCCCUGCACACUGAUAAACAUUCCUCACUUCUGCUGAUAUGCUGUUAUCAGAAUAUAAAUCCAUUAAAAUGCAGUUCGAAUUCUUUACCCACUUGGGGGUUGUGGGGCACAGGGGCCAGGACAGAGAGAUAAAAUGUCUCCUUCCUGAAUCAGGCUGUGGGCCUUUUACUGACAUCACACGCGGGUCGUCCCCUGGUGGCUUGCGAGCAUAAGGAGGUCUACGCUGGUGGUCUAGCUCAGCCUUGAGUAAUGGCCCUGGUGGGUUUUGUUCCCCAAAUGCAGCAACUGGACUAGACUCCAUCUGGACAGACGGCUACUCAGUGAAGGAGUCGCCACAUCGUCCAAACUCUGAGAGGAGCAGACAGAGCGAUGGCCGCUGGCAAGAGCUUAACUCAGAAGUGGUUUCAGAAAAAGAGACGGAGACUCUGGCACUGAGUUGUCUCAGCAGUUCAGUGUUCAGCUACAGAAUGCUGGAAAACACUGAGACUCUGAACAGAAGGUUGAGAGUCGCUGAUGUGAGAGUGCUGUGAGGUUGCAGCCCGGAGCAGCCACAGACCUUCUGGGGGAUGAGCAGCACCAGGACGGGCCGGCUGAGAGGAAGGCGGGGCUGCCCAGCAGCAGACUGCCCACCAGCUCUGCUUUGGGCUUUGGAUCUCGUUAGAUCUGAAGACAGGCUGUAGGGAGGAAGGGAAGUUCUGGUACUUACUAUAGUUUGGGCAGAAGAUAUGAUUGGAGGAUAUCACUGACUCAAUGGACAUAAGUUUGAGCAAACUUCAGGAAAUAGUGAAGGACAGGGAAACCUGGAGUGCUACAGUCCAUGGGGUUGCAAAGUCAGACACGACUUAGUGACUGAAUAACAGAGCUAUUUCAUCAAAACCCUGAAGAGAGGGUUUGCCAGAGUGCAGAAGCUAUUUAAAAUUGUUGGUAUUGUUUUCCUGUAUCAAAAUUAGAAUAAGGGCUUAGUAUGAUUGACAGCAGUAGUCCUCUAUUGUCUUCGGGACCUCCCAUUACUCUUUCAAGACAGAACACAUCACCAUCACCCUCAUCCUUAAAAAGAAUCAAGACUAUGCAUUUGUGCAUGUGUGUGUGGGAGAGUGAGCUCAUGUGUAUGAAAAGGAGUCACUGAGUUAUAUGAUCUGACUCCUUGUUUAGUUCUAAAUAUUUGGGACAUAUAUUUUAGACCUUUUAUUUUAAAUUAUAUACCAACUUAUUAAAUAAUGAGUCACUCAUUACAUGAUCUGAUGACCCCUGCCUGGGCCACAAAUAAAACCAGCUACACUACCAGAUUUAAGCCCAAAAGGGCCGGUUUUUACAUUUUCAAAGCCAGACAGAGCUGAAGUUCAUCCAUCCUUUGUUUUCUCCUCUCUUUUACCCUUCUUCUUCUUUCUUUUUUUUCCCCCUCUACAUUUUUUCUUAUCCUCUUUCUCUUCUUUUUGUUCAUAACUGGGGCCAAUAUUUAACUUUUACAGGCCAGGCCCUGUGAUAAGCCUUUGCCUGCAUUAUCUCAUUUAAUACUCAUAAGCACUUACAAAGUAGGUACUAUUAUCAUCACUGUUUUGGAAAUGAGGAAAGAGAAGGUCAGGGAGGUUAAGUGAUCACAUGGCAAGCAGGUGGUGGGGUCAGAAUUUGGAGAAGGCAUAUCCGAGCCCAGAGAUGGAGGUCUGGACCUUGUGAUUGGGCCUCGUGUCCCACCAGAAAAUAGGAAAUAGGCCCCAGAAAGCUGGCUCAUGUGUAACAGUAUGUGAUCAGUGCUUCUACCUAUUUCCUGCUCUCUCCCUUCAUUAUUUUAUCAACUGAUGAACUUGCAAAGGUCCUGACAUGUAGCUCUUUUGGAGGGGAACUUUUUCUCCAGCACAUGAUAUGUCAUUGACAAUUAAGACAUAUAGUUAUGUAAGAAAGUAAAGAAGGCUGGUUAGCAUGGUACUUAUAGCUUAUGCUGCAUUCUUCCUUUAUAAUAUUCCUGUUGAAUUCCUGUCACCUUUUUGAGGAACUAGACAGACUGAUUACUUUGUAAUAGCAGGGUAUACAUCUCUAAAACAUGUGUGCCCUCAAGGGGGUUCUAAUGUACGUCACUAAUGUGACUGAGACUCUGGGAGGAGCGUCUCUACGCUGAAUUCUCUGGUUUAGAAAAGCCUGUAUCAUCAACUGGGCUUCCCUGGUGGGUCAAUAGUAAAGAAUCCACCUACGAUACAGGAGACGCAGGAGACACGGGUUCGAUCUCUGGGUCCAGAAGAUCCCCUGGAGGAGGGCAUGACAACCCACUCCAGUAUUCCUGCCUGGAGAGUCCCACAGACAAAGGAGCCUGGUGGGCUGCACUCCAAGAAUCAGACAGGACUGAAGUGGCUGAGCACGAGACAGCUAUGUGUGCUUAUCCUCUUGCAUCUCACUAAAAUGAAAUGGCAUCACUUGAUCACUUACCUAACUCUUCCCAGACUUCAUUCUGAGAUUCUCUGUGCCAUUUCCAAAUGCCAAAUUGGUCACACAUUUGCAUCAUACAAAGUCUACAACAGCCUGUGUGGCUGGCUCUAAAAAUCCUUCAAAGGAGAAAUUUUAAAAAUAUUUUUGAGUAAUGGCCCUAAUAUCAGCCUCCCAAAUUGAUAUGCUAAAAGGAUAAACAUAUAUUUAGAUGCUUCAGAUUUGAUAUGCUUAUUUAAAAUAUUAUUUACAUUGCUUUAUAGUGUUAUUUCUUACUACACUUUGAUUUACUCAGUUCACUGACCAGAAGUGCCAAGUUGGAAACUCUUUUCCCUGACUUCCCUUUGCUUUAGGUUUGUGAAAUAUGCCCAGAUGUGUGGCCUGCUGGGUACAGAUCCCAGUGCCCAGAGUGGUGCAGACACAGGCCCAGCAGACCUAUCGUCUUCACACUACGCUGUAGUCAGACCAUCUGCCCGGAGUCAGUGCCCGGGAGAUCCAGGCUGUCUGCAACCAUGGGAGGGUGCAGGUUCCAGCCAGAUCCACCUCUCUCCUCCCACAGGUGUUGUCCUCAUCCUGACCCACACAAGAGCUCACAAACCUGUGAGGGAAAAGGAUAAAGAAUUGGAGCUUCUAAAUUGCAUAAGUUUGGGACCACAUAACACACCUUCGGUGGAGCAAGGCUGAGGGAACAUUACAGAAUCAAGCAUGCCAUCCCCAGAGCUAUAAAAUUAAUAAUGGAGUCAGGGUUCCCAGCGCAGAAACACUUCUGUCUCCACUGACAUGCAUCUUCCUGACAGCAGAGGAGGAUGGGGGGCUUGUGCUAAUAGUUCCCAGACCCACACCUCAGGGACCUGGAGGAAGGGCGCUCUCUCUAUCUCUCUCUCUGGAUGGGUCUGUAUCUCUGGAAAUUCCUGCCCUCCCGGCUGACAGAAGCCCAUAUGUUGACCAUUAGGGCAUAAAGCAAGAUUCACUUAAGCCCGUCAUCCAAUAGGCUGUUUCUCCCCUGGCUGACUUACAUGUUGUCAUUCACAACACAGAUUUAUCGAGGGAAGAAAAGAAUGUUAAAGAGCACAUGUUAGAGGCCGCACAUUCAUCUGCUUGGAAGGCUUCCCCCUUCCUUGCAUCAAGGAUCGUAAAGCUACAGCCAGGACAAUGUCUCUCGACUUAUCUCAAGGCAUUUUAUUCAGCAUUCUCAUAAUCACUAGGAAAGGUUUGACUGGCACAGGAAAGAGCGUCCCAUUAAAUUAGCAAAUCCUAUCCUGGAAUUAAAGUUGUUGAGUCAGACUCUUCAAGGUUUUCUUUAUCUGGCACUAACUAGCCUAAGUCAAGUUUAUUUCCCAACACCGUCCACCCGCACCCUCAUCAAGCUGACUCCUCACUGUCCUACUGAAGUGACUUUCUGAUGUCACAGCCAUGUAGACUGUUAUAGAGUUACCCUCACCUGCCGCGCGGGACUUUCCCCUCACUCCUUUAGACUGAAAGUCUUCCCCCCUCAAGACUCAGGGCCUACUUAGCACCUUUCAUCGAGCACUCUCUGUCCGCUCCAAGCCCACCUGGACCAUCUUCCCAAGUCCUGUAAUGUUAGCACAUCAGGCUGUAGGGCUCAUAUACUGUUUUGAAAUGUUUGGUGAUUUCUCAUACAUCUUGUUCCCUAGGGACAGCAGUAGGUCUCAUAUUACUCAGGUGGUAAACACAUACUUCCUGAUUUAUUAAGUACUAAAAUCAAUUUCUUACAAAUUAAUAUCAACCUUCCCUUGCCAAACAGGGGCAUACUUCUCCAGGAAGGGCUCACCCAGGGGCACUGUGGUGAGGACAGAGGAGCUGAGAGCCUGGUUUUUAUUUGAAAUAUCUCACUUGAUAUAUAAAGAGAACAUAUACAAAAAAUGUGGCACAUUUUUAAAUGACAGAAGUUAAAAAUGACAGGAAAGUCUGUGGCAUCAGAUUCAGGUUCUGCUAUUGCAAACUUAGAGUAAGAUUAAUUAAUAAACUAUUCAUUCGUAGAUUGAGUCAUAGGAACCUUAGGAAUUUCUAAGUGAGAUACAUAUCUUAAAAGACCACAGAAGUGAAUUUGUCCAAGACUACCCAAUUAGUAAUCAGUAGAAAUAAUCAUAGGCAGCAUCCAUCUCCUAAUCUAUAAUGCAGGGCUCUUUAUUAUAUGAAAUUUGCAAAUUCAUAGGCAUAUGAAAUUUGCAAAUUUUAAGAAGAGAUUUACCACAGCAGCACAAAAUAAGUUUCAUGGGGAAAGCUUAAAAGAAGUAUGCAGAUACAUUAUUUUAAAGUACUUUAACAUUCUUUUAUUUAUAACACAUUAAUAUAGUAAUUAGAAAUAUUUUUUUCUAUUUCCAAAAAAGUAAAGAAUAUUUGAUAAAUUCUUUCUUGUUAGUAGUUAUGUCAAAGACUUAGAAAUAAGAAAAUUAAAUAUUCUUUUUUUUUGAAAUAAAAAAAAUCUUUUUAAAAAAACUUCACAAAUUCAAUCUAAUUGUCACUGUCAAAUCAGGGUACUUUUUAGUGUAUCCUAAAACAUAUAGUAAUUCUAGCAAGGUUGUAUUCUAAAAGGAAAUGCAGAUUUACAGAUCAUGUCUAUACUAUAAAAUAGCAUUGGCUGUAAAAGGUAUUUUGGUAUGUUAACAAUGAAAUCUGAUGAACUAGCGUGUAAUCCCACUGAUAAUAGUAAAUGAAAAAGGCCCCCCAAAGAGUAAAAGAACUGAGUAUUUGAUGGCAGCUAAAAGUAACAUAUAGAGUCUGCUGCUGCCUUUAUUUAAGACCUUUUAUGUCAUCCAAGGAAAUGGGUAGCCAGAAGCAUCUUAGGCUCUGUAAAUGCCCCACUAAUGCACUUGAAUAUGAGGGAAAAUUCCAUUUAACACUUAUGCUUAAAUGGGAAUUUUCAUAGGCUGUGUGUUAUAAAAUAAUCAGUGAUGAAUGAAGACAUGCUGAAAAAAGAAACCAAAUUAUCUUUAAGCUAGACACUGCACCAACAUAAGUAUCCAGCUAAUAUGAUGAACAUAUUUUAUGUUGUUUAUAACUUGCCAUUCAGUUUAGUUCAACACAUGUGUAUGUACUAGGUGCCAGGGAUUCAGUGGUGAAUAGACAGAUAUAUUAAUAGUUCCUGCCAUCAUGGAGUCAGAAUCCAGUGGGACAGACAGGUAGUGAACAAAUAUUUAAACAAAUAAAAACUUCUGGCACAUUCUAGGAAUGAAAAAAGAAGGCUUUCUGUGAUAGAUCCUUUGAACAUUUUAAGAGGACAUGGUGAUGGACCAGAUGUGGAAGUGAGAAAGCAGUGUAACAAAGGAUGUGUGGGUUUAUGGCUUGACCGAUGGAGUGGGCAGUCAUGCCAUUUUCUGAGAAGGGGAAACCUGGGGAAAACAUGUUUGGGGAAUGGGACAAAUCUAGAGCUCAAUUUCUAACAGAAGUAGGUUGAUAAAAACAUGAGCAUGCUGGAGCUGUUAAGCAGGGGGUUGAAUACAGAACGAAGAGAGAGGAGAGGACACAGAUGAGGCCUGAGAUAGCAGUUAGAACCGUAUCAGUGGAGGAGGCCACCCAGAGAGAAAAUGUAGAGGAACCAGUGAGAAGAGACUAGAUCGGGCCCUGAAGAUCUUCAAGGUUUAGAAGUAGACAAGGAGACACUAACAACUGAAAUUGAGAAAGACCAAUUUCAGGUCAGGAGGAAAAUCAGGAGACUGUGGUGUUACAGAGGUCAAGGAAAUAGUGUUAUAAGAAGGAGGGAUAUGCUAUCUGCAUUAUAUGCCACCAGGAAUUUGAGGGUCCACCAAAUAAUAUUGAUAUAAAUUAUAUAAGAUAAUCAAUCAAUAAUUACUGUGAAAAUGGUGACUUAAAAACCUCACCAAUAUAUUUUCGUAUCAUUCUCACUUAUUCUAGCUGUCUUAGCACUUUUUUAGAUAUCAUGGAUUUCUACAAUAAAGCUUAACAUAGAAAGGGAUAAAACACUUAUUCUUUAAUUUUCAAAGUGACAAAUGUAAGGUAAAACCUCAUAAUAGAGCAGUGGAGUGAGAACUGAAACCUAAGAAAAUCACAUUUUGGCCCAGGUAGGGUUUCCUAGCACCUAGCCUUUGUCCCCUGCCUGCCACCCACCUGGGUCAUCCACAAGGACUGGGAGGCCUAUGAAGCCAUGAGGGCAAAGACCAAUUCUGACUACCUCAUUUUUGCAUUCCUGGGGCUUAUCGUAGUUUCUGGCAUAUAGAAGGGGCUUAAUGAAUAUUUGUUCCAUGAAGAGAUGAGGAACCUCAGAUAUCCUGGUGGGAAUUGUACAUUUCGGAUCAAAAUAAGGUCCACCCACUGCUAUUGGCUGACAUGGUGUUCUCUUGUUUUUUUAUUUUUAUCAGGUCAUAACCACAGAGUUCAGAGGUUCUGCAAGCUAGCCACACCACGGUGUAGGUCUAGAACACCAGACUGUGUAAGCCUUGGUUGAGGUUGUGUUCCCAUAGGUAUUGAGCUGUUUGCUAAUAUGAUUUAUGUGGGAAGAACCACGAUACCCGAGAACUCACAUCGUUCACAGCCUGCAGCUGUCAGGCAGGUAAAGCUCUCCUCUGAUUUCUGAGGAAGUUCACUUUAUGCAUUUCACUUUGCAGAAAGUCCUACAUCAGUACUGGUUUUUGCUAACCAGAAGAAAUCCCAAGAGAAUUUUUGCUUUACCAAAAAAGGCGAAAAGUGAAAGUAGCACCGAGCCCUUGUUUUUGGAGCAAGCCGGUACAGAGGCAGCACCCACCCAGAGCAAGAGCGGCCCUGCUCAGCUCCUUCCCCGGGACCUGCACUCAGCAUCUCUGUAUCAAGGCGCCAUCACCCGGAACUGAGUUUGUAAGCGUCCAUGCUUUAUCUCCAUGGGCUCUGUGCAUCUGUUAGCAAGAUGUGUUCUAAGGUAAUCACUUCUUCGCUUUUGGCCAUUUUGGCUUAUGAAAGUUUUUAUAGGAAGGUUCUACUUCUAGACAGCAAGGGAAACCUGUCUCAGGCUUUCAGUAACAAGUUAAACAACUGGUGAACUCCACUUGCUUUCUGAACUUGACAGGAGGAUUGCUUGUUUUCUACAGUGGGAGGGGAGACCUCGUGGUGACCUCUGGCCCAGGUCAGGGUUUUUACAGAAUAACCAGUGCAAGUGGUCUGUGAUUAGGUGCAGGCCUUCUUUGGAGAGACAGCGGCAUUCCUUAGCCAGAGAUGCACCUAUCUCUAACUUAAGGGCUUCUUUGAUUUACAGAUGCCAGGGGCAAUAACCAGAGGAGAUAACCACACAACCACCCAUCCCCUAAAGCCCAGUUCCUAGAUCUGGCCUCCAGUUCGGUCUGCAAAAUGUCACAUGCACAGCAUCACACAGCUGUACCUACUCUCCGAAUCUCUAGGAAGUAUUUAUAGUUGAACAUCAGAGCACUCAGCUUCUUCAAUGGAAGACUGGGGGGUAAAAAAUGUCUUUUGUCAUUAUUGUUGCCAUAAGAAAAUCCUCCUUUACAGGUUUUCGAGCUUAUCAUUUCUUAGGAGCAAUUGAAGACAUUAACACCCUCCAAAUCUGAAAGGGCUUGUAAUUGAAUGGGGCUUCUAGGCAGUCUAAGCUGAAUGCGGUUGAAGUUUCCCCACCUCCCAGCUCCCUGCUUUGCGGGCACCUCAUUCUUUAUGUUCUGUGUCCUCAUGUUGCCUUUUUUAUUACACAGCCCCCCAGUCGCUACUCUUAAGUUUCAGGAAGUAAGGUAAGAAAAGUAUAGAAUUUUGUUUUGAUUUUAUUUAUUUUGUUUUGUUUACCACUUACAGGCCACAAAACCUUGGACAAGUUAACUUUUCAGAAGCUCAGUUUCCUUCUCUAUAAAUAGAGGUAACUGCUGUGAAGAUUUAGAGAAAAUGCACACAAGGCUUACAGUCCAAGGCCUGAUUCUUAGUAGGAGUUCACCCAAAGUUCCCAUUACCUUUCCAACCUGAGGUUUGGGUCUGUCUUCAGACAGAAUACCCUAGGGUCUUGACUCACCCUUCUGUAAUUCUCACCAAAAUCCACUAGUCCUGAUAUCAUUGUUUUAGGCCUUCACUAAAGGGCUGACUUGAUGAUCUCCGUCAAGCUAAUUCCAAGGGAAGCUUUGAUGGAUGAGAUCAUUUCAGAGUGCUCUUCCCAGUAAAAGAGGGUCCCAAAAAAUGCCUUAAUGUGAAAGAACACCCUCUUAUACUGUGUAAGUCAGGGCAGGGAUAUUUUUGAGUGACAUUUAUUUAGAGCUUUUCAAAUAGAAAAACUUCUUUUUCCUUUGUAAGAGAUCAGAUAUUUAACAACAACAAAAAAUCUCUCAGUAAGAUUUCUUUGUACCUGAUACUUAUAGAAAAUCAGGGAAUUGUGGAUUCCCUGAAGAGUGAAGUGACAGUGUUAGUUGCUCGGUUGUGUCCAAUUCUUUGCAACUUUAUGGACUGUAGCUAGCCAGGCUUCUCUGUCCAUGCAAUCCAGGCCAGAAUACUAGAAUGGGUAACCAUACCCUUCUCCAAGGGAUCUUCCCGACUCAGGGAUCAAACCUGGGUCUCCCUCAUUGCAGGCAGAUUCUUUGCCAUCUUAGCUACCAGGGAAACCCUAUGGAUUUUUCAGACUUUGAUGUGCUUGAGUGUGAAAAGCAUACAGAAUCUCAUGAAAAAAAAACCCUGAGAUUCUGAUCCAACAGGUCUCUGAAGAAGUCCUCACUUUGGAAAAUAGUGGACUAGACCUACAGACUUUAUCCACUUCACAAAUUGAAAUGACAAAACAAGCCAGCUCACAUCAGUCAGAUUAUGAGUGGAUUUGAACAGGAAGAAGCCGCUAACUAGCAAGAGUAAAGUCUGCCAAUUCCAAAUACCUAUGACUUGACAAUAUUUCGUCUUCUCACCACCAUUGCUUUUCUAAGUGCUGACGAAGGGAAGUUGCCCAAUCAGUUGAAUAUUAAAUGUACAUGAUAUUUUUUUUAAAAAAAGCAAGAUAAAAUGACCACAAUACAGCAGAGUGGGUAGUUUGUGAUGAAAUCAAGGGAAAAGUUAGUGUCAAUUUUAAGAGAGAAAGUGAAAAUAUAUAUAUAUACACACACACACAUACACACACACAAAUGCAUAUCUAUAUAUACACACACACACAAAUAUAUUUGAUUUAAAUUUUACUGAAAACUUCUGACUUACUUUGGAGCCUGGAUACUCUGAUGGUAACCCAUUUCUAAGGACAGGGAAGCUGGUUUGUGCAGUCCAUGGUGUCUCAGAGUCAGAUAUGACUUAGCAACUGAACAACAUCAACUCAUUUCGAACAUGUUCCAUUUACCAUAAAGCAGGUCUGAUGUCGUGCAAUCAUGUGGAGAGACUCUCUCAGUGAUGUCCUGCCCCAUUAACUGAGAGCGCUUCUUAAAAUGUGCAGCAGAGAAUGUUAGCGCUGACCCAAAUGAAGGCAGAGAGCCCAGAGAAGGAAUGCCACUGAGUUAGGUUCAGGAAUCUCCCCUUCUCACAGUUCUCAGACUCUGUCAUAGCUCACUGCCUGCACAAUCAAAAGUUGGGAGCCACUCCAGGAAGAUUCAGAACUACACACUUUGACCGACUUUUCAGAGUACAUACCACAGAAGUCUCUAGAAGAAAGUAGCCUGGAGAAAGUCUCAUCUCUACACAGACCAGGGCAAGGCCCUCAGCAGCCAUUUGGGCUAAAGGAGGCUGUCUCAGGGAAAAUCUGCAUCUCAUAUAUGUGUUAUUUGUAAGUGUAUUUGUCCAGAUAUGAACAAUGAAAAAAUACUGUCAGCAAUCCAAAAUUUCUCCACAUGAUAUCAAACACCCUAAAUCAUAUUUUCACUAAAACAGUCAUCUGACGGUCAACAGAACUAAAAAGAAAUAUUACAAGUUUUCAUAGAUGACUUUGGCAUUUUUCUAGGCUUAGCUAAAAUGAAAAGGCCUUAAGUAUAGUUCAAUUUAUGAAUAAUCUAGGAAUCUUAGUGGAAAUCUGAUCUAAAACAAUGGAACUGGCUACUUAAAAAAAUAACAAGGUGGCUCCUGGUAAAUCAAUACCAACCCAGAACCAAAUUCAAAUCUUUUUAAGUCAGAGAAGCUAAAAUAAGCCUAAAAUAGAAGGGAAAUAUAUUAAGAGAAUGAGUAAAUUAUAUAACCUCCCUCAGAAAGUCUGGACCCGCAGCAGUAGACCUUGUGGCUGGUGCAUUUGGAGGCAGAGUGAAAUAGUUACAAGGAUGGAAGGACUUGGGUUGAAGUCCCUGCUCUGCCUCUUACCCAUGAGAGUCCUUGGGAAAAAUCCAUAACCUGUCUGAGCCUCAGUUUCCCCUCCCAUGAAGUGGGAUAAUAACAUCCUGCCUUACUCAAUGAGAGAAUAUGGAUCAAGCCCUAAUAUGUGUUGGGUACUGCAAAUGUGUUUGCUAUUUUAGGGUCAAGAAACAGAAUCAUGUUCUAAUAUAUGGGAGUAUAAAAAGCAAAGUAUGCAAGAAUCACUUAGUAUCCUGAAGAGGCAGCAGGGAUUCAAUUCAGAAUCUCCCCAUUGUGAAGAGAAAGCAAGGUCUUCCUAUCUGUCUGUAGCAGUUAAAUGGUCAUCAUGCAUAACUGCUUCACUGUGCAAACUGCUUCAAUUCAAAACACCAGAAAGGAUGUCCAGGGGAAGCAGGUCCUCUUAUGCUUGACGUGAGGUUCAUGCUUCACCCAUCCUUUCACAUACAUGCCCUGGGAGCAAGACAGGAGCAAGCUGUAAUGUCUGGGCUAGGAGCACAGGCCAUGGGGUCAGACAACUGGACAUUGAUCCCCUCCAAGACCAGCCAGAUCUUGAGCUGGUUACUCACUUUCUCAUCUGUACAAUAGGGACAGUGAUAUCCAGAGUGCUUAACUGAUCUCAAAAAUAUAAGAGGUGAAUUUGGUUCCUGGUUGACGUUGAUCAACCAGGAGCCACCCUCUUCUUAAUCAUUUUUGUCUUUUUUCUUCAAUAAUCAAUUCCAGUGCACUGAUGUCAUAGGGCGGUUCUAAGGAUUAAAUAAGACCAUGUGUGCAAUGGUCUUAGAGCAGUACCUGGCACACAGGAGUCAGUACAUCGUUCCUAAAGUGAUCCUGAUGUCAUCAGCCCCAUGCUUGUCUGAGCAGUCUGAAGUUAAGCAGCUAGUUAACAGCAGAAAGGAACCCAGACCUCUGGGACCCUCCUGUACCAAAACACAGGUUUCUUGGGGAUUGGGUGGAAACUUUGGCUUGACAGGUAGGAUGACUUGUUAGAGGUCGCAAAGCACGUGAGGAAUGCGGCAGGGCACAACAUCUGGCCCUUUCGCUCAGCAGUUAUUAAUCCAGGGGCUGCAUGUCCAAACGUGCUCCGGGGCUGCAAAGAACCAGCUCAUCAAACCAUGAAGGCAAUUCAACCACUCGGGGACAAAGAAGAGGCUCUGGACUUUUUGUGACAUCCCCUGAUAAUCCUGCUCAGACCUGUGAUAGGAGCUGCUGACGUCUGCUCUGUUUUACUGUUUCCUUUGCAAUUACUUUGGAAUGAAAAACAAAUUCAGAAUUUGAAUUUGAGGAUGUUUUUCCUGGUAAUGAAUUCCCUUGCUUUCUACUAAGCCUGAGAAGUUGGCUUGAGAUAAGUUGGCUGUGGGCUCCCCAUCACCUCCUCUCCACUGAGACAUAGUGCUCAUUCUUAUUCUGUAUCAAAGUCUUUGCAUGGAUUUUGUGCUAAGCCCGGAGUUCAGGGCUGACCAGGAGGGGCAAGAGGUGGAGAAAAGCACAUGUGUAAAGCCCACAGGUGGCAACUGCUGUACUGAGGCUGAUGGAGCUGCCCUCUGAGUGAGUUCAGGACAGGGAAGGUGCCGUCAGCAAGGGAAGGGUGCGGCUUUAAUAAACGAAGUGCCUCUUACGCAGCCCUCAUCCACUGCUCUCCGACAGCUGAGCCAGUGGGGAUGAAUUCCUGUUUUCAAGUAGUUGGCAACUUCGAGGGAGUGUGAAGUAUGGAGGAUUUCAGAACAGGCUAACUCUAAAGCUGUGGACCCUCUUCCAUAAUCACAAAGGUGGGACUUAAAGGGGCAGACACACUGCAAAGCUGUCCUCCCCUGAGCGUCAAAUCACAGGGAAGAUGCUGGGCUUCUAUACAUAGUGGACAUGAACCCACCAGUUAGAGUUCUGCCCAGGCUGAGGACUUUUGCUAAUCUGCACAUUUUGACUUUUUGCCACGUACAUUCUUGUUGGGUUCCCAUUUCUCCAGAAUCUGCACAUUAUCAAUGAAUUUCUCCAGUUGCUUAGGAAAGCUUUCUGUGCACUUAAAAUAUGAAUGCUGAAGAACCUGAGCUUUGAACCUGAAGACAGCAGGCCUGGCAGGUAGAAAAUACAGUACUACACUUAAACUGAGGAGUGCUGAUUCUUGGAAGAAUUAGGUACUUUGAAUAAAGUGUUUUGAACUUACCUGCAUC